rnacentral:rRNA from 1 species
UACGUAGGGUGCGAGCGUUAAUCGGAAUUACUGGGCGUAAAGUGUGCGCAGGUGGCUGAGCAAGUCGAGUGUGAAAUCCCCGGGCUUAACUUGGGAAUUGCGCUCGAAACUACUUGGCUCGAGUGUGGCAGAGGAAGGUGGAAUUCCAGGUGUAGCGGUGAAAUGCGUAGAUAUCUGGAGGAACACCGGUGGCGAAGGCGGCAUCCUGGACCGACAUUGACGCUGAGGCGCGAAAGCCAGGGGAGCAAACGGG